GUCAGAUACAAAUAUGGCGUUUUGGACGGGCUCGAUAGUUUGCUUGGCCUCUACUCAAGGAAUGCUGAUGGUAUAGCAAGAAGGUAUUCUGAGCAUUAUAUCAAUGGGGAAGUUCUAGAUCUUUUGCAAAGCAGGAGAGUCAUCCUAGGGCAUCCAGAGGCCUUCAGGGUGGCCUGAAGUCUCCCACCGCACCACCUUUGGGUUAACCUAGCCUGUCCCACAGAAGAUGAUGAAGUUGGGUCUGGAGGCAAGCUGACUCAGAUGGAUUCUUGAUUUUAUGAUGCUGGACUGGAGAUGGGUUUCACCAUGUUGCCCAAGCUAGUCUCGAACUCGUGGACUCAAGCAAUCCACCUGCCUCAGCCUCCCAAAGUGCCUUACAGGCGUGAGCCACCGCACCUGGCUGAACUGUCCCUUCACACUUACCUUCAGUCCUGGAGGGAGGACCUCUUGCUUGUGGAUCUGGAUGACAGUGAUACUCACAAGUACCACAAUACUCACAAGCAAGACCACCAAGGCAAUGAUGGUUGGAGUUCGGUAGAGGGCCUUGAGGCCUAAAAUGAGAAGACCCAGAAGACACUUGAGGGGGAGGUAAAAACCAGGCACUGGUAUUCUUUGUAGAAUUGAUGGACUGGCCCCAUAAUCAGGUGCAUAAACCACUUUCUCUGGUGUUAGCAAGACCCACACUUCUAAGAUGGAGUAGCAAAUAAGCUCCCCUUCUCCCCAG
rnacentral:antisense_RNA from 1 species